rnacentral:lncRNA from 1 species
AUACUUUAUCAAAAAGAGCUGAAAAUAUUCCUAAAGCUGGAAUACAGUAACACAAGUUCACAUAUUAAAUUUCAUGAUUUUUGGAUAUACCCAUAAUUUACUAAAAAUCAUGGAAGGUUUAUUCAUUAAUAAACAGAGGUAAUUUUUACAUACAUGCAAACUACCAGAAAAUAUAAUUAACUAUUUUUCAUGUGUCCUACUCAUUUUAAGGAAGCCAUACAAAAAUUCUCAUAAUUUUUGGAUCAGCAUAAAAUUUACUACACAAAUUCAAAUAUAAAUAAAAAACUGCAUAAAAAGAAAAAGAAAAAGAUUACUGCGCAGUGGGCUGCUUGGAAACUGGGCCGCAGACCGGACCACUGCUUCCGGCCCGCAUCCGCGCUGCGCACACCCGCGCCCUCUCCCUCACGCGGGACGCUGACAGGCAAACCCCACC